CGUAGGCGCAAGCGUUGUCCGGAAUUAUUGGGCGUAAAGAGCUCGUAGGCGGCUUGUCGCGUCGGUUGUGAAAGCCCGGGGCUUAACUCCGGGUCUGCAGUCGAUACGGGCAGGCUAGAGUUCGGUAGGGAGAUCGGAAUUCCUGGUGUAGCGGUGAAAUGCGCAGAUAUCAGGAGGAACACCGGUGGCGAAGGCGGAUCUCUGGGCCGAUACUGACGCUGAGGAGCGAAAGCGUGGGGAGCGAACAGGAUU
rnacentral:rRNA from 1 species